rnacentral:rRNA from 1 species
UACAGAGGUCUCAAGCGUUGUUCGGAUUCAUUGGGCGUAAAGGGUGCGUAGGCGGCGCGGUAAGUCGGGUGUGAAAUCUUGGAGCUUAACUCCGAAACUGCAUUCGAUACUGCCGUGCUUGAGGACUGGAGAGGAGACUGGAAUUUACGGUGUAGCGGUGAAAUGCGUAGAUAUCGUGAGGAACACCAGAGGCGAAGGCGGCUACCUGGACAAUUGCUGACGCUCAGGCACGAAAGCGUGGGGAGCAAAAGGG